rnacentral:lncRNA from 1 species
AUGUGUCUGACCGGAGCUCUACUCCGUAGUGUCCUGGUGGUUCUCUUAUUGGCCAGCUCUUGUGGUAAACGUAGAUGUAACUAUAAAGAAAUCCUGGGCUCCUACAGAGAGGUCAUCUUCGUUGAGCUUCAGAAUCUGAAUUUAACUGGCUCCAUUAAUACCUCCAAAGAGAGAGACCCCUGUCCCUCAGGAAAGGCUCGUCGCAUCCUGGUUUCCAUCUAUGGUAUGACACAGCAGACGCGGUGUCAAAGGGGUGGCAAGCAGCAGUCUGACCUGGAGAAGCCACUGGAGAGCAUGGAGCAGCUCAUCGUUCACAACUGCAGCCCUGAUUAUCUGGGGAGGAAAGCCUCGUGUUCGGCUGUCAAGAAAAUACGAGGAAAGAAGAGAAAGAGGAUCAGGUUGAUCAAAGUCAUCAAGGCGCUGAUCACUUGUUGGCAGAAACUUCAAAGUGUCUAUAUGCUAUAAGUAGAAAAACGUCGUGCUUCCUGGUUCAUGUAAGCCUGUGCUACUCUCUUAUGAAGACAUUCGGUGAACUUCCUGAAAGUUCACUUAAACAGAGGAUACUACAAAACUACAUGCAAUGUCAUGAAUGUUUACUCUUGUCAAGUUCUCAGUGUUUUGUGUCUUAAAACUACACCGGACUUUGUAUGUCAGCAUUGCUCCUUGUUUUAUGGAACAGUUUUAUAGUAACCACAGAUAAGCUAAAAAAAUAUCCACCAUGCAUUCAAAUUCUGUCAGAAUAUGCACAUUUUCCAAGGUGUCUCAUGUUUUAAUAAGCAUGUUUGUCUCUGUACGCUGUGUGUUAUACAUGAAUUUGUCUUCUGUCAUUUAUGUUUUCGGAGUAUAUGUAAUGCAAUAAAACAAACAUUUAAAGCAAUGCUAUGUAGAAAUGAUUGAUGUGAUUUUGGUGUCCACAAUAGCACGAGACCACUGUCUUGUGCCAUUCAUUACAUGAUAACAAGGUUAUAUUUUGAUGUAAACAUGUAUUUUCAUUAAGUUACAUAGUGCAGAAACAAGUGUUAGGAGGCGGGUUGACUGAGACAGAGAAACCCUAUAAGAAGACACGAUACCAUCAACAUGAUUUUG